rnacentral:misc_RNA from 1 species
GGCUCUUGUGUUUCCAGGUUCAACUUCAUCAGAGUUUUCUUUUUGACCAAUUGAAGAGUCAUAUUUAUCUCCUGAAUGAAUGCUGACUACAUCCAUGCAAGCAACUUCAAUUUCAGAAGUUCUCGAGUCAUUAGUUGAUACGAGCAAUUUACAGUUCAUGCUCAUUUCAUGAGCUUGCACCAGAGGGUACGUGACCACAGCGACUUGCGUAACAGUACCAGGGAAGAGUAUUAGUCCCUCAACAUAUCUGACACGAAAAUACUUGAUGUUCUCUCCAGCCUCACUUACCUUGACAAUGCUCAAUAUGUAAGGUGAAUCAUUUCUCACUGACAGAGCAACAACACUAGUACCAUCAGUCGCACAUGGUUCUACAGUUUGAAUAG